UUUCUUCUAUUUUUUUCUCUCUACGUUGGUGUUUCAACCAAUAAUCACCGAAGCGAUAUUCUGUCCGAUCGAUUCAGGAACCAACUAACGCAUGCCAAAGUGUUGUACUUUGUGAAUUUCGGUAAAUGGAAUCCAAAGUGCUAUACUUUGUGAGUUCAAUAAAUGGAUGCCAAAGUACUGUCUGAAUAAGACUAUACUUUGUGAAAUUCGUUAAGGUUCGAAUCUCGUGAUCAUCAUUAGGUUUGAUAUGGUUUUACACAAAUACGUAUUCCGUUCUGUUAAACUAUAUGUUUAACCAUCCGAAUACUCCCAACUAUACGCUUACAAUCAAAAUGGAUGCUUGAUCAUCAGAAGAUCCAAAAUAAUAAAGUAUAUGCUUAAUUAUCAGAAGGAGUAGAAUCAAGAAGCUUGUUAGUUCAAUAUUGCAUGCUUAUAAUGGAUUAAGUUUUUGUAGUCUUUAAUUACAUCCGGUAUGUGGGGUAUUGUGCACAUUACUGUUGUUUUAUCACUUUAGGUGGGCGAGUCUAAAAUUUGUGAUAUUCGUCAUUAUUGGGUGACAGGACCCAAUAGUGGUAUGACCACAGUCACAGAAACGAGUCGAGUGACAAAUACUGUGGGUAGUUGGUUGACAUAUAAACAUUGUAAUCUCCCUUAAUAUUGUAAAUUAUAACAACGUGUCAUUUUAUUUAAAAUGAAUGAUUCACUCAGUAUUUCCCGCUGACAAAACCUUUUUAAAACGCGUUUCAAGUGAUUACAGUAGAUUGGAAUAAGAAUUGGAUACGGCACCAACAAGGUUUACAGAAGUGGCUUGAUU
rnacentral:lncRNA from 1 species